CGGGACGGGUGAGUAACGCGUGGGUAACCUGCCUCAUACAGGGGGAUAACGGUUAGAAAUGACUGCUAAUACCGCAUAAGCGCACAGUACCGCAUGGUACAGUGCGAAAAACUCCGGUGGUAUGAGAUGGACCCGCGUCUGAUUAGCUAGUUGGUGAGGUAACGGCCCACCAAGGCGACGAUCAGUAGCCGACCUGAGAGGGUGACCGGCCACAUUGGGACUGAGACACGGCCCAG
rnacentral:rRNA from 1 species